CCAAAAAGCCCCAUGUAAGCAAAGAAAUAGCUGUAAUGUGCACGUCACUUGGUUGUGCUAUUCCCAGUUUGGAACAGGAAGAACACAGACAGACUAGGGCAUCGGCGGUCAGCCGGCGGACCUCGCCGUGGGCGCUGCGGCGGAAAAAGUUCGCCACAGUACGGAUGUACUGUCCCCCGACUUCCAGCGGACAACUAGCCCCACCCCUGCCCGCCCUUCUCCAAGUCGGCGCAACCCCCUCCACAGCCACACACAGCGCCCAGCUCCACCAUCCGCCGACGCCGGAGAAGAGAACCCCCAGUCUUCAGGGAAGGAUGGAGUCAAUGAAAAGCAUGCAUUGCUCCAAGUGUCAGGUCAACUACAGCGAUAUGACUUGAAGAUGGAUUAAAAGGUCGUGGAAUGCCAAUGGAUGGUUGUUGAUUGAUCCUUUUCUAAUCUGACAUGGAUUUUCAACUUUUCAUACACCUGACACUGUUGUCUUCUCAUUUGUGGUGCAGAUUUCACUAGUUAAAAUCUUGGCUAGACUCUUCAUUUACUCUUGAACGUUUGUUUUUCAAAAUGUGCACUUCCUGUGGAACAUAUGUUUCUUUUUUAUACCACCUUGGAAACUCCAUGACACUAUCUGUACAAUAUUUAUAUGUGAUGGGCGAAGGUGAAAGCAAUUAGGAGCUCCUGUGUUUCGUUCUGGAAUUCAAGUUUUUUUUUGUGUGUGUGGAUAUCAGUUUAAGUUUUUUGAAUGUAGUGCUUUCCUAGCAGCCAGUGAGAAUUUUUUGUUUGAUGUUGCACACGCUCCUGGUCAUAUUCGAGUUGAGCUUUGGUACAUUAAGUUUCUUUAUAUAACAUUUGUAUCUGUCUAUACUAGAUACUAGAACAGAUCUUUUCAUUUGUUUGCAGACAAAGUGAACGCACAUGCUGGACAGAAAUUACACAUUUAGUUACAAUUGAUACUCAAUGGCGCAUUUUCAGAAAAUGCUUGGAAGCGAAACCUGUCCCGGAGAUUGUACAUUAAGACGUCUUGACAUGUUGACAGUCCAGGCACACCUGAGCCGCCAGAACCUCCAAGCGAUAGUACAGUCGUGUUCUUUCUGUUCCAAACGGCACAUCUUGUAAUCGAAACGUUACAGUCGGAGCACUCAUUCCACUGGAGCACAGGAUACUUUCCCACUGAGAUGGAGCAAAAGCUCAAGGAGACUGCCGCCAAGUGCGAGUCUCUGGAAACGGAAAAUAAAGCGUAGGUGACCGAACUCACCAAGGCCCUUCAAGAUGCUUCGGAGGCACGGUCCGAAUCCCAUGCAGCGCGCGAGGAAAUCCGUCAAGCUGGUCAGAUAGCAACUGACGCAUAUGCGGAUCUGUCGACGAGUGCUACGGACGCCGCCCAAUUCUUCCAGGUCCAGGAGGGGUACAAGUCAGAGAAGCUUUUCUGGUCGCAGUUUGUGGAGCAGGAGUGUCCCCUACUGCUAAAUGACCAGAUGUCACAAUGGGCGGAGCUACAUAAGAUGUCUAGCGUGGCCAUGAAGGACGUCAUAGUCCGGCUGUGGCCUGCUGAAGCCGUUCCGGGCAGCUACUUCGGCCUCGUGCGGCGUCUCAUUGAUGCGCUGCACCGGAUUGACGCUGUUAAGAGGUAGUCCUGCAUGGAAGGAGCGCGUAUGGCUUUCGCCCGUGUCAAGAUGCACUGGGUGAAAAUGAAUGCCGAAAAGGUGGGGGUCGAGGGUCCUCUCGAAAGCAAGGCCCACCGCACACCAGAGCGCUAUUUUGAGGACAUGCUAAAAGGAGCUUGCCUUAUAGAGGGCCAAUGCUCUAAGGACGUAGUGUUCGAAUAAAAGAGUCUGAAUUGUCCGGGAUUCGUGUUAUAAAUGAAGUGUUUUGUAAUAUAUUCAUUCCUUGAU